AACCCUAUCAGUAGCUUCAAAGAUAUUCUGAUUUCUUUUCUUAUGCUUGUUUGCUCUUUAUAUUGCUCGCUUUACUAUUUCUUGGUUACCUGUUGCGCAAUACAUAAUGAAUCAAAAAAAAAAAAAAAAGGAACAUAAAUAGAAGCAGCUUAGCUGCAAAAUGCAGGUAUUCAUAUCAGUUGGUUCUUACUUUACUAUGCUCUUUCGGGCAGUGGUUACUUGGCGCUGUUUUUCGCCGAGAUAUGGUUCUUGCAGGCUUAAUCCGAUUUCUGGUGUUUGUUUUCAAACCCUCAUUGUUAUUUGUUGCAGUCACUGAUAUGCUAUCAAAUUGGAGAGACACAUCAUUUGAGCCACAACUCUCUUUUUCUU